UGCUAGUGAUUUUUGCACAUUGAUUUUAUAUUCUGAGACUUUACUGAAGUUGCUUAUCAGCUUAAGAAGCUUUUGGGCUGAGACUAUGGGGUUUUCUAGAUACAGGAUUAUGUAAUCUGCAAGCAAAGAUAGUUUGAGUUCCUCUCUAUAUAUUUGAAUUGGAGUUCUUUAUAUA